rnacentral:rRNA from 1 species
CGCUGGCGGCGUGCCUAACACAUGCAAGUCGAGCGAGGAGAUCCUCGGGAUGAUCCUAGCGGCGGACGGGUGAGUAACACGUGGGCAACCUGCCUCAUAGACGAGGAAUAGCCUUCCGAAAGGGAGAUUAAUACCUCAUAACAUUGCAGUUUCGCAUGGAACAGCAAUUAAAGGAGCAAUCCGCUAUGAGAUGGGCCCGCGGCGCAUUAGCUAGUUGGUGAGGUAACGGCUCACCAAGGCGACGAUGCGUAGCCGACCUGAGAGGGUCGAUCGGCCACAUUGGGACUGAGACACGGCCCAGACUCCUACGGGAGGCAGCAGUGGGGAAUAUUGCACAAUGGGGGAAACCCUGAUGCAGCCAACGCCGCGUGAGUGAUGACGGCCUUCGGGUUGUAAAGCUCUGUCUUCAGGGACGAUAAUGACGGUACCUGAGGAGGAAGCCACGGCUAACUACGUGCCAGCAGCUGC